UACGUAGGGGGCGAGCGUUGUCCGGAAUGAUUGGGCGUAAAGGGCGCGUAGGCGGCCAGGCAAGUCAGUAGUGGAAGUCCAAUUUUCAAGGUUGGAAGUGCUAUUGAAACUGCAGGGCUUGAGUGCAGGAGAGGUUAUCGGAAUUCCCGGUGUAGCGGUGAAAUGCGUAGAGAUCGGGAGGAACACCAGUGGCGAAGGCGGGUAACUGGACUGCAACUGACGCUGAGGCGCGAAAGUGUGGGGAGCAAAC
rnacentral:rRNA from 1 species